AUUGAACGCUGGCGGCAUGCUUUACACAUGCAAGUCGAACGGUAACAGGUUAAGCUGACGAGUGGCGAACGGGUGAGUAAUGCAUCGGAACGUGCCCGAUCGUGGGGGAUAACGCAGCGAAAGCUGCGCUAAUACCGCAUACGAUCUGAGGAUGAAAACGGGGGACCGUAAGGACUCGGGAGAUCGGAGCGGCCGAUGUCAGAUUAGGUAGUUGGUGGGGUCAAGGCCCACCAAGCCGACGAUCUGUAGCUGGUCUGAGAGGACGACCAGCCACACUGGGACUGAGACACGGCCCAGACUCCUACGGGAGGCAGCAGUGGGGAAUUUUGGACAAUGGGCGAAAGCCUGAUCCAGCAAUGCCGCGUGCAGGAAGAAGGCCUUCGGGCUGUAAACUGCUUUUGUACGGAGCGAAAAGGUCCUUUCUAAUACAAGGGGCCCAUGACGGUACCGUAAGAAUAAGCACCGGCUAACUACGUGUCAGCCGCCGCGUAACAC
rnacentral:rRNA from 1 species